GAUGAACGCUGGCGGCGUGCCUAAUACAUGCAAGUCGAGCGAACAGACGAGGCGCUUGCUGCUUUCACGUUAGCGGCGGGGGGGUGAGACACACGUGGAUAACCUCCUUAUCAUUCUGGUAUCACUUCGGGACUCCGGCGAUUAUACCGUAUAAUCUAUUGCACCGUAUUGUUCGAUGGUGAGAUUCGGCUUUUCUGUCUCGUAUAGAUGCUUCCGCGCCGCAUUAGGUAGUUGUUAAGGUAACGGCUUACCAAGGGAACGAUGCGUAGACGACGUGAGAGAGUGAUAGGCGACACUGGAACGGAGACACGGUCCAGACUCCUACGGGAGGCAGCAGUAGGGAAUCUGCCGCAACGGGCGAAAGCCUGACAGAGCAACGCCGCGUGAGUGAUGAAGGUCUUCGGAGCGUAAAACUCUGUUAUGAGGGAAGAACAAAUGUGUAAGUAACUAAGCACGUCUUGACGGUACCGAAUAAGAAAGCCCCGGCUAACUACGUG
rnacentral:rRNA from 1 species